UACAGAGGGUGCGAGCGUUGUCCGGCAUCACUGGGCGUAAAGGGCGCGUAGGCGGUCUGCUAAGCGUGCGGUGAAAGCCCGGGGCUCAACCCCGGGUCGGCCGUGCGAACUGGUGGACUGGAGCUUGUCAGAGGCAGGCGGAAUUCCGGGUGUAGCGGUGGAAUGCGUAGAGAUCCGGAAGAACACCGGUGGCGAAGGCGGCCUGCUGGGACAGUGCUGACGCUGAAGCGCGACAGCGUGGGGAGCAAACAGG
rnacentral:rRNA from 1 species